GACGAACGCUGGCGGCGUGCCUAAUACAUGCAAGUCGAGCGGAUCUUUAGGAGCUUGCUCCUGAAGAUUAGCGGCGGACGGGUGAGUAACACGUGGGCAACCUGCCUGUAAAACUGGGAUAACACCGGGAAACCGGUGCUAAUACCGGAUAAUUCUUUCCUUCACAUGAGGGAAAGCUGAAAGUCGGUUUCGGCUGACACUUACAGAUGGGCCCGCGGCGCAUUAGCUAGUUGGUGAGGUAACGGCUCACCAAGGCGACGAUGCGUAGCCGACCUGAGAGGGUGAUCGGCCACACUGGGACUGAGACACGGCCCAGACUCCUACGGGAGGCAGCAGUAGGGAAUCUUCCGCAAUGGACGAAAGUCUGACGGAGCAACGCCGCGUGAGUGAUGAAGGCCUUCGGGUCGUAAAACUCUGUUGUUAGGGAAGAACAAGUAUCGGAGUAACUGCCGGUACCUUGACGGUACCUAACCAGAAAGCCACGGCUAACUACGUGCCAGCCGCCGCAGUAAAAC
rnacentral:rRNA from 1 species